rnacentral:snRNA from 1 species
AUACUUACCUUGUGACAGACUCGGACGUUCAUUGAUAUCUGAGACUCGGAGAACUCCACCUUCAUUGCACACCGGGGGUAGAGCCUCUGCCAAAGGUCUUCGGGCCUUCUGGGUUGCUCAAUUUUUGAUUUAUUCAAUUUAUCUUUUUUAUCAUACUUGAU